CCUACGGGUGGCUGCAGUCGAGAAUCCUUCACAAUGGGGGAAACCCUGAUCGUGCGACGCCGCGUGGGGGAAUGAAGUUCUUCGGAUUGUAAACCCCUUUCAUGUGGGAGCAAAUUAAAAAGAUAGUACCACCUGCGGACGCGACGGCUAACUCUGUGCCAGCAGCCGCGGUAAUACAGAGGUCUCAAGCGUUGUUCGGAAUCACUGGGCGUAAACCGUGCGUAGGCUGUUUUGUAAGUCGUGGGUGAAAGGCGCGGGCUCAACCCGCGGACGGCACAUGAUACUGCGUGACUAGAGUGAUGGAGGGGGAAGCGGAAUUCUCGGUGUAGCAGUGAAAUGCGUAGAUAUCGAGAGGAACACGAGUGGCGAAGGCGGGUGCCUGGACAUUAACUGACGCUGAGGCACGAAGGCGAGGGGAGCGAAAGGGAUUAGAUACCCCUGUAGUC
rnacentral:rRNA from 1 species